ACCGGCUCAGGGUUGACUCAGCCUUCCAUCCUUCCGAGGCACUAAAUGUGGCAGCACUGAAGCUCCAAUGGAAGAGAUGGCUUCCAGGGUUGACACAUCAGAUUUUAAAAGGAAGAUGGAAAGCAGCUUGGGUUAUGAAGAUGAUAAAGAGCCUGGAAAUCAAGCCUUGUAAGUAAAGUUUAAAUCAGCUGGGCAUUUCUUUUCAAGCUACAGAGCUUGAAAAAUAGAAGAAUGAGAGAGAUCAUUGUGUGUGUCUUACAAAUACUUAAAAGUAUUUUGAACUCAUGAGAUACUCAUUUGAAAUCUGACUUAUCAGACAGGAUUAAAUUUGUGUCAUCCUGGUGCUUUGUUUUUAUGAUCCACAUAUUUUUUUUUUGUUUUAGAGCAAGGACAAGAAAAGGAGAUUGACUCAUGGUACAGUAUAAAUGCAAGUGGGAUGUUUAAAUUCAGAGAUGUUAGUUGCCGAGAGAGAUUAGAUUAUAAGAAGAUAGAGAGGAAUGCUUAAGGUUAAAAAUUGUAGUUUAGCUGGUGUACAGAGUUUCUGAUGUAUGGUAUCUUAAUAAUGGAUACACUGAAUGUUAAUCCCUACAAAAGCACCCUAGAUCUCUCUAGAUUGGGCUGCAUACAAGUUUAACUAAAAUCCAGAACAUUUUAGGAUUUAAGUGACUUAGAUUUCAGCAACCAGUAUUAACAUGAAUCAAGCAGAUGAUGGGAGAAUAGAUUAAAAGAGUUGGACCAAUAUGCAGAGUAACACAAGACACUGAGUGGAUGCGAAGUUAAACAAAGGAAAUUCAAACUGUAUCUUAGGAGGAAUUUUAUGAUAGUAGAAUGAUUAAAGAUUGGAAUGCACUGCAGAGAAAAGUAAGAAUUUCCCUCUUGCUGGAGAUUUUCAAACGGGGGCUGAUUUAACUGAUUCUUGCAAGGGAAGGAGCAGGUUGUAACCUCCGCAGGAGGUUGACCUGUACUAUUUUUUUUUAAAUCAUACAAUUCUGAUUCUGAAAUUCCUACAGGCUGUAUUCAUACCCUGAACACCACCAUAGUCUACUUUUCUUGGUUUUGCUUGGUACACUUUGUGAAUCCAGCCAUGGAGGAUAGUAAACUUUGUUUUAUGGUGUAGUGUUCACAUUCAAAGUGACAAUAAAGUUAUUCUAAGUCUAA